rnacentral:rRNA from 1 species
CCUACGCGCGGCAGCAGUGGGGAAUAUUGCACAAUGGGGGGAACCCUGAUGCAGCGACGCCGCGUGAAGGAUGAAGUAUUUCGGUACGUAAACUUCUAUCAGCAGGGAAGAAAAUGACGGUACCUGACUAAGAAGCCCCGGCUAACUACGUGCCAGCAGCCGCGGUAAUACGUAGGGGGCAAGCGUUAUCCGGAUUUACUGGGUGGAAAGGGAGCGUAGACGGGCCAGCAAGUCUGAUGUGAAAACCCGGGGCACAACCCCGGGAGUGCAUUGGAAACUGCGGGCCUAGAGUGCCGGAGAGGUAAGCGGAAUUCUUAGUGUAGCGGUGAAAUGCGUAGAGAUUAGGAGGAACACCAGUGGCGAAGGCGGCUUACUGGACGGUAACUGACGUUGAGGCUCGAAAGCGUGGGGAGCAAACAGGAUUAGAUACCCCAGUAGUC